ACUCAAAGGAAUAGACGGGGGCCCGCACAAGCGGUGGAGCAUGUGGUUUAAUUCGACGCAACGCGAAGAACCUUACCCAGACUUGACAUGCACGUGACCGGCGUUGAAAGACGUCUUCUCUUCGGAGCACGUGCACAGAUGCUGCAUGGCUGUCGUCAGCUCGUGUCGUGAGAUGUUGGGUUAAGUCCCGCAACGAGCGCAACCCUUGUCGCUAGUUGCCAUCAUUCAGUUGGGCACUCUAGUGAGACUGCCGGUGGUGAACCGGAGGAAGGUGGGGAUGACGUCAAGUCCUCAUGGCUCUUACGUCUGGGGCUACACACGUGCUACAAUGGCCGGUACAAAGGGUCGCAAUACCGCGAGGUGGAGCCAAUCCCAAAAAGCCGGCCUCAGUUCGGAUCGGAGUCUGCAACUCGACUCCGUGAAGUCGGAAUCGCUAGUAAUCGCUGAUCAGCAGGCAGCGGUGAAUACGUUCCCGGGCCUUGCACACACCGCCCGU
rnacentral:rRNA from 1 species